GAUACGGCCCAGACUCCUACGGGAGGCAGCAGUGGGGAAUAUUGCACAAUGGGCGGAAGCCUGAUGCAGCAACGCCGCGUGCGGGAUGACGGCCUUCGGGUUGUAAACCGCUUUCGCCUGUGACGAAGCGUGAGUGACGGUAAUGGGUAAAGAAGCACCGGCUAACUACGUGCCAGCAGCCGCGGUGAUACGUAGGGUGCGAGCGUUGUCCGGAUUUAUUGGGCGUAAAGGGCUCGUAGGUGGUUGAUCGCGUCGGAAGUGUAAUCUUGGGGCUUAACCCUGAGCGUGCUUUCGAUACGGGUUGACUUGAGGAAGGUAGGGGAGAAUGGAAUUCCUGGUGGAGCGGUGGAAUGCGCAGAUAUCAGGAGGAACACCAGUGGCGAAGGCGGUUCUCUGGGCCUUUCCUGACGCUGAGGAGCGAAAGCGUGGGGAGCGAACAGGCUUAGAUACCCUGGUAGUCCACGCUGUAAACGGUGGGUACUAGGUGUGGGGUCCAUUCCACGGGUUCCGUGCCGUAGCUAACGCUUUAAGUACCCCGCCUGGGGAGUACGGCCGCAAGGCUAAAACUCAAAGGAAUUGACGGGGCCCCGCACAAGCGGCGGAGCAUGCGGAUUAAUUCGAUGCAACGCGUAGAACCUUACCUGGGUUUGACAUGGAUCGGGAGUGCUCAGAGAUGGGUGUGCCUCUUUUGGGGUCGGUUCACAGGUGGUGCAUGGCUGUCGUCAGCUCGUGUCGUGAGAUGUUGGGUUAAGUCCCGCAACGAGCGCAACCCUUGUUCACUGUUGCCAGCACGUUAUGGUGGGGACUCAGUGGAGACCGCCGGGGUCAACUCGGAGGAAGGUGGGGAUGACGUCAAGUCAUCAUGCCCCUUAUGUCCAGGGCUUCACGCAUGCUACAAUGGCUGGUACAGAGAGUGGCGAGCCUGUGAGGGUGAGCGAAUCUCGGAAAGCCGGUCUCAGUUCGGAUUGGGGUCUGCAACUCGACCUCAUGAAGUCGGAGUCGCUAGUAAUCGCAGAUCAGCAACGCUGCGGUGAAUACGUUCCCGGGGCUUGUACACACCGCCCGUCAAGUCAUGAAAGUUGGUAACACCCGAAGCCGGUGGCCUAACCGUUGUGGGGGAGCCGUCGAAGGUGGGACUGGUGAUUAGGACUAAGUCGUAACAAGGUAGCCGUACCGGAAGGUGCGGCUG
rnacentral:rRNA from 1 species